rnacentral:rRNA from 1 species
GACGAACGCUGGCGGCGUGCUUAACACAUGCAAGUCGAACGGAAAGGCCCUGCUCUUGUGGGGUGCUCGAGUGGCGAACGGGUGAGUAACACGUGAGUAACCUGCACUUGACUUUGGGGUAACAUCUGGAAACUGGGGCGAAUACACGAUAGGAUCUCCUGCUGCAUGUUGGUGGUUGGAGAGAUACGGUGGUUGGGGAUGGACUAGAUGCUUAUCCGCUUGUUUGUGGGGUAGUGGCGUACAAAGGCUUUGACGGGUAGCCGGCCUGAGAGGGUGACCGGCCACAUUGGGACUGAGGUACGGCCCAGACUCCAACGGGAGGCAGCAGUGGGGAAUAUUGCACAAUGGGCGGAAGCCUGAUGCAGCAACGUCGCGUGCGGGAUGACGGCCUUCGGGUUGUAAACCGCUUUCGCCUGUGACGAAGCGUGAGUGACGGUAAUGAGUAAAGAAGCACCGGCUAACUACGUG